rnacentral:rRNA from 1 species
AUGUCGGAUCAUGUGGCCCAAAGCCAGCCAGUGUUGUCAAUGCCAUCUUCAGUACCUUCAACUCUCAUGCCAUCUUCAGUCACAUCCAAGAGGCAUCCAUGUUCUUCCGCGAGUGUGACAUACAUCAGCAGACGUAAACUUGUCGAAGUCGUCGAUGGACUGCUCGGUGUGAUGACACCAUCGUCAACCCAUAUAAAGCCAUCUGUGCAUUCUUUUUCUGAUGGUCCAUCUGAUGAGCUUUGUCCUUACAAAGCUUGGUUGGCAACAUGCCCUUCUGCUUUAGCUUCCUUCGACCGGAUCAUAGCAAGUGCGCAGGGCAAGAAGAUCGCCUUGUUUCUGGACUAUGACGGCACGCUUUCGCCUAUUGUUAAUGAUCCCGAGAAGGCGUUUAUGUCCCCGGAGAUGCGUGCUGCUGUGAAGAAUGUCGCAAAGUUCUUCCCUACAGCGAUCGUCAGUGGGAGGUCCCGUGACAAGGUGUUCGAAUUUGUACAGCUGAAGGAGCUCUGCUACGCUGGAAGUCAUGGAAUGGACAUAAUGCUAUCGUCUGCAGAUUCUGAAAGUAAAACAGAAGAUGACAAAGAAACCAAACUUUUCCAACCUGCAAGUGAGUUUUUACCCAUGAUCAUUGAGGCUUACGACUCCCUAGUGGAGGCCACCAGAUCAAUCACGGGUGCAAAUGUUGAGAACAACAAGUUCUGUGUGUCUGUACAUUACCGCAACGUCGACAAGCAGGACUGGAAUUCGGUCGCGCAGCUUGUCGACGAUGUGCUGAAGUCUUUUCCUCAUCUCAAACUAACAACCGGACGAAAGGUUUUAGAGGUUCGUCCAGUGAUUGACUGGGACAAGGGGAAGGCAGUGGAGUUCCUGCUGCAGUCGCUCCGGCUAGAUGACCCCGAAAGCGUUCUCCCUAUCUACAUCGGAGAUGAUCGAACCGACGAAGACGCGUUCAAGGUGCUUCGCGAGCGGAACUGUGGGUGCGGAAUUCUAGUUUCACAGCUGCCCAAGCAGACUCAAGCCUUCUACUCGCUGAGAGCUCCAUCUGAAGUGAUGGAGUUCCUGGAUUCCUUGGUGAGAUGGAAGGAGCAACAGCAGCCAGCCCAUGUUCAAGAAUGA